GAUGAACGCUGGCGGCGUGCUUAACACAUGCAAGUCGAACGGUGAAGGCGGAGCUUGCUCUGCUGGAUCAGUGGCGAACGGGUGAGUAACACGUGAGCAAUCUGCCCCUGACUCUGGGAUAAGCGCUGGAAACGGCGUCUAAUACUGGAUACGAGCUGCGAAGGCAUCUUCAGCAGCUGGAAAGAACUUCGGUCAGGGAUGAGCUCGCGGCUUAUCAGCUUGUUGGUGAGGUAACGGCUCACCAAGGCGUCGACGGGUAGCCGGCCUGAGAGGGUGACCGGCCACACUGGGACUGAGACACGGCCCAGACUCCUACGGGAGGCAGCAGUGGGGAAUAUUGCACAAUGGGCGAAAGCCUGAUGCAGCAACGCCGCGUGAGGGACGACGGCCUUCGGGUUGUAAACCGCUUUUAGCAGGGAAGAAGCGAAAGUGACGGUACCUGCAGAAAAAGCGCCGGCUAACUACGUG
rnacentral:rRNA from 1 species